rnacentral:piRNA from 1 species
UUACCUCUUCACGAUGUUCUCUUUCAGUC